rnacentral:tRNA from 1 species
GUUCCCGUAGCUCAAUGGAUAGAGUAGUCGCCUCCUAAGCGACCGAUGCAGGUUCGAUUCCCGCCGGGAACA